GUUUAACGUCCAUUACCAACCUAGGUUACAUGUAGGGUAUGUUACAACUACCAUUACCAGUAUAAGAUCAUUACCAGUCUAGGUUACAUGUAGGAAAUGUGAUUUCAUAAAAGAUGAUGUUUGAAAAUGGUGUGAUAGUCAUGUCUGCAGAAUUCCUUGAAGAUAUCUGCCAAUAAAGAUUUAAGUUGAGGAAGAUCAUUUAGCACAAAAAAACAGUGAUUCACGUACCUGAUGGUGGUGCAAGUGGCUAUUCAACAAACUUUUACAUCCAACCGAAAAAUAAAACGGAAAAAACAUUUCUGUCGGAGACACAAGACAAAAGAAAUAGAAUUUUAUUGUCGCGAUUGUUCUGGUGCUACUUGUAGUAAUUGUGUGAUAUUGGAUCACAGAAAUCAUACAGUAGCUGAUCUUCAAGAGGUUGACCAAGAAAUCAGAGGAAAGUUGAACAUUAUGAAGGGGGAGUUAGUAGGUAAGGUUGAAAAACUGGAGACACACUGUGAAUCAUUAACCUGAAGAAGUCAGAAAACAUGGUGGUGACAUAAAAUGUGAAAUGAAUAAAAUUCGUGACGACGAAAGUAAAAAGUUACAGACAUUACAUGACGAUAUGAUCCAAAUGAAAAGUUCUCUACAGAACAGUUUGAAAUAUAUGAAUCAAGUGUUAAAUGGUAAAUCUACAUUUCCAGUUGUAGAUGCGUUAACCAAUGUACAAACACCGACUGAAAACAGCAGAUCGACCAGUUUAGAUAUACCACCAGUAAGAUAUGUCCAUUAUCCUAUGGUAGAUAUAGAUGUUAAAACAUUAAAACUACUACUAGGUGAAAUAGAAACAAUGGAGUCACCAACCUGGACAUCUAGUUUUAGUUUGAAUCGGGUGAAGACAGAUGUCUACUACUCUGGUGAUGAUGUAAUGAUACAAGGAAUGCCAUGGUGUGUAGAUGUUAGACAUCUUUCAGAUACAUCAACAUUAGGGUGUUUCCUGCAUCUGAGAGGAGUAGAUGAUAAAACAGUUAAAACCGUUACAGCUAGUUAUACACUAAAACUAUUAAAUAUAAAUGAUGCAAGUAAAUCUAUAGUGGGACAAUAUACAUAUACAUUUACACCUGGUAAUGUUGGAUAUGGUAACCCCCGCUUUAUAGAGUGGAAUAAACUAGAGGAUGUGAAGGGGGGGUUUAUAACUAACGAUAAAACAUUUACUGUACAAGCGUCUGUAAAAAUAAACAACAUAGAACUAUAGUGAUAUUUAUAUUACAGAACAUAAUACGAUAGAUGGGUGUCAUCAUAAUACAAGGACAUAUCUCUAUUGUUAGUCCAAUACAAGGACAUAUCUCUAUUGUUAGUUCAAUACAAGGAUAUAUCUAUGUUGUUUAUACAAUACAGGGACAAAUACCUUUACUUUAAAAUAUGUUGUUCAAUCAGAAACAUUUAAGUUACCUGUAUGUGAAAUAAAUAGAUUUUAAAAUUUAUUUUGAAACUAAUAUAAUAUAACGUAAGGUAUGUGUCUAUGGUUGUGUGUGUGUAAUAUUAACUGAUACAGUGUAAAGUAUGUGCCUAUGGUCGUGUGCACAAUGAGUCAGUAAAUAACUAUAUAUUAACUGUGUAAUGGUAUCAGUUAUGACCGUGUAAUGGUAUCAGUUAUGUGUUGUGAAAGACAGGGAAAUGGGACUAACGCAUGGUUCAACUUGAUUGCAAUAAUUCGCCCACUCGUAGAGGUCCUUAUGAAGAAGGACCCGGAGAAAACCCACGAGGCUGGACAGGCGACAUUACUCCUUGUUUCGUACAUGUAGGGAAUCGAAACCACGCCACAUGACUCAAUGACAAACCUUAUGAUUUCACGUGCAUGCGUUAAACCACUAGACCAUCCACCCAGUACGUUGUUACGAUAAAUAUAAGAUGAUUAUGUGACUCACAAAAACAAGAUGAUAACAUUUUUUAUAAUUCAGACUAUUUAUAUAAUUUUAUAUAAUUUAUUGA